AUUGAACGCUGGCGGCAGGCCUAACACAUGCAAGUCGAGCGGAUGAAGGGAGCUUGCUCCUGGAUUCAGCGGCGGACGGGUGAGUAAUGCCUAGGAAUCUGCCUGGUAGUGGGGGAUAACGUCCGGAAACGGGCGCUAAUACUGCAUACGUCCUGAGGGAGAAAGUGGGGGAUCUUCGGACCUCACGCUAUCAGAUGAGCCUAGGUCGGAUUAGCUAGUUGGUGGGGUAAAGGCCUACCAAGGCGACGAUCCGUAACUGGUCUGAGAGGAUGAUCAGUCACACUAGAACUGAGACACGGUCCAGACUCCUACGGGAGGCAGCAGUGGGGAAUAUUGGACAAUGGGCGAAAGCCUGAUCCAGCCAUGCCGCGUGUGUGAAGAAGGUCUUCGGAUUGUAAAGCACUUUAAGUUGGGAGGAAGGGCAGUAAGUUAAUACCUUGCUGUUUUGACGUUACCAACAGAAUAAGCACCGGCUAACUUCGUG
rnacentral:rRNA from 1 species